AUACAGAGGGUGCGAGCGUUAAUCGGAAUUACUGGGCGUAAAGCGCGCGCAGGCGGUUUUCCAAGUCAGAGGUGAAAGCCCAGAGCUCAACUCUGGAACUGCCUUUGAAACUGGAAAUCUAGGGUACGGGAGAGGUGAGUGGAAUUCCGAGUGUAGAGGUGAAAUUCGUAGAUAUUCGGAAGAACACCAGUGGCGAAGGCGGCUCACUGGCCCGUUACCGACGCUCAGGCGCGACAGCGUGGGGAGCAAACAGGAUUAGAAACCCCAGUAGUCC
rnacentral:rRNA from 1 species